AUACGGAGGGUGCAAGCGUUACUCGGAAUCACUGGGCGUAAAGCGCGCGCAGGCGGCUAUUUAAGUUGGAUGUGAAAGCCUACGGCUCAACCGUAGAACUGCAUCCAAAACUAUUUAGCUAGAGUGUGGGAGAGGAAGAUGGAACUAGUUGUGUAGGGGUAAAAUCCGUAGAGAUAACUAGGAAUACCAAAAGCGAAGGCAAUCUUCUGGAACACUACUGACGCUGAGGCGCGAAAGCGUGGGGAGCAAACAGGAUUAGAAACCCGAGUAGUCC
rnacentral:rRNA from 1 species